GGCGAAGCCGCGAGGCAGAGCAAAUCCCCAAAAGCCGUCUCAGUUCGGACUGCAGUCUGCAACUCGACUGCACGAAGUCGGAAUUGCUAGUAAUCGCGGAUCAGCAUGCCGCGGUGAAUACGUUCCCGGGUCUUGUACACACCGCCCGUCACACCAUGAGAGCCGGAAACACCCGAAGUCCGUAGCCUAACCGCAAGGGGGGCGCGGCCGAAGGUGGGUCCGGUAAUUGGGGUGAAGUCGUAACAAGGUAAC
rnacentral:rRNA from 1 species